CUUGACAUCGGAAUGACCGGUACAGAGAUGUACCUUUUCUUCGGAACAUUCCAGACAGGUGGUGCAUGGUUGUCGUCAGCUCGUGUCGUGAGAUGUUGGGUUAAGUCCCGCAACGAGCGCAACCCUUAUGCUUAGUUGCCAGCACAUGAUGGUGGGCACUCUAAGCAGACUGCCGGUGACAAACCGGAGGAAGGUGGGGAUGACGUCAAAUCAUCAUGCCCCUUAUGACCUGGGCUACACACGUACUACAAUGGCCGGUACAACGGGAGGCGAAGCCGCGAGGUGGAGCGAAUCCUAAAAAGCCGGUCUCAGUUCGGAUUGCAGGCUGCAACUCGCCUGCAUGAAGUCGGAAUUGCUAGUAAUCGCGGAUCAGCAUGCCGCGGUGAAUACGUUCCCGGGUCUUGUACACACCGCCCGUCACACCACGAGAGUUUGCAACACCCGAAGUCGGUGGGGUAACCGCAAGGAGCCAGCCGCCGAAGGUGGGGUAGAUGAUUGGGGUGAAGUCGUAACAAGGUAGGCGUAGACGU
rnacentral:rRNA from 1 species